UACAGAGGUCUCAAGCGUUGUUCGGAUUCAUUGGGCGUAAAGGGUGUGUAGGUGGCGCCGUAAGUCGGGUGUUGAAAUUUUAGAGCUUAACUCUGAAACUGCAUUCGAUACUGCGGUGCUUGAGGACUGGAGAGGAGACUGGAAUUUACGGUGUAGCAGUGAAAUGCGUAGAUAUCGUAAGGAAGACCAGUGGCGAAGGCGGGUCUCUGGACAGUUCCUGACACUGAGGCACGAAGGCCAGGGGAGCAAACGGG
rnacentral:rRNA from 1 species